AAGAGAUCUUUGUACUAGAAAUAUUCUAAAAUGUGAAGAAUACAACCCUGGGGGUACAAAAUGACCCCAGGGCAUAUGGAUAGGGUUAAGAAAAAUUACAGGGUUUUUUAAUCAGUGGUACCGGUUGUUUGUACUCCUCGAGAAAUAUUUUGUUGAAAUUCAGGCAUAACGUAGAUACAAUUCUUGAAAGAAUGGAACAUUUUAUUCUCACUUUUGAGGAGGAAUUACUGUCAGAUACUACCGAAGAUGAUGAGGCUUUAAUUAAUUAGCUUCAGUUAUAUGUAGUGGGUGGCAACAUUCUCUUUUUUUAAAAAAAUUAAUUUUUUUAAAAGAAAGAAAAAAAAGGAAUUACUUUCCCUUUCUGGGCUUAGAACGUUUGAAGAGCUUGCCGACAACUUGUUGGUUGGUUUAUUUAUUGAUGCUGUCUGCAACGAUUGACGCUCUGUUCGGAGUUUUGUUUUGUCCAUGCCAUGUCUCGUAAGUAAGACCUGUUCUCAGUCGUAGAGAUUGCCUUGCCACCAUUCCAGAAUCACAGAAGAAAAAACCCGCUAAUUUUUAGUCUGAAUCAUUAUGUUGUGAAACUGGUGUACCUUAAAAAAAUACAGGGCGGGGAUGACCCGCGGGGUAUCCCGGCAUGUUUGCUAGCAGUUAGAGAUGGUAAAGGGGUGAAAGAUUCAACUUUUUAAAUUCUGAUUUAUUUUGUUGUUGUUGCCUUUGUGCAGGUAUUCCCUUUUAUCCAUCAGGGUACUACUGGCGUUAGGUCAAAGAUUGUCUGCGCCCGCCUUCUCGAGCGACUUGUUCUGUUUUAUCUGUUCUCGUCUUGCCUAGUGUAGGUCAAAGGUUGUCUGCGCCCGCCUUCUCGAGCGACUUGUUCUGUUUUAUCUGUUCUCGUCUUGCCUAGUGUAGGUCAAAGGUUGUCUGCGCCCGCCUUCUCGAGCGACUUGUUCUGUUUUAUCUGUUCUCGUCUUGCCUAGUGUAGGUCAAAGGUUGUCUGCGCCCGCCUUCUCGAGCGACUUGUUCUGUUUUAUCUGUUCUCGUCUUGCCUAGUGUAGGUCAAAGGUUGUCUGCGCCCGCCUUCUCGAGCGACUUGUUCUGUUUUAUCUGUUCUCGUCUUGCCUAGUGUAGGUCAAAGGUUGUCUGCGCCCGCCUUCUCGAGCGACUUGUUCUGUUUUAUCUGUUCUCGUCUUGCCUAGUGUAGGUCAAAGGUUGUCUGCGCCCGCCUUCUCGAGCGACUUGUUCUGUUUUAUCUGUUCUCGUCUUGCCUAGUGUAGGUCAAAGGUUGUCUGCGCCCGCCUUCUCGAGCGACUUGUUCUGUUUUAUCUGUUCUCGUCUUGCCUAGUGUAGGUCAAAGGUUGUCUGCGCCCGCCUUCUCAAGCGACUUGUUCUGUUCUCGUCUUGCCUAGUGUAGGUCAAAGGUUGUCUGCGCCCGCCUUCUCGAGCGACUUGUUCUGUUCUCGUCUUGCCUAGUGUAGGUCAAAGGUUGUCUGCGCCCGCCUUCUCGAGCGACUUGUUCUGUUUUAUCUGUUCUCGUCUUGCCUAGUGUAGGUCAAAGGUUGUCUGCGCCCGCCUUCUCAAGCGACUUGUUCUGUUCUCGUCUUGCCUAGUGUAGGUCAAAGGUUGUCUGCGCCCGCCUUCUCGAGCGACUUGUUCUGUUUUAUCUGUUCUCGUCUUGCCUAGUGUAGGUCAAAGGUUGUCUUAGCCCACCUUUUACUAGUCUUUUUCUUCUGGGCUUUGUUCUGUGUGUGCUGACAGCUGUAUAUCGACAGAGUCUUUUUACUACUAUAUAGAUGCAAUGUCUUUUAUUUGUUGCUCUCAUUUCUGUUUUUGAGAAGUGCAGACUUGAUUGGUUUUAAUUUUUAAUGAUUUUCUAUUUGUUAUAUAUAUGCAACUGCCGACUUGGUCCUUUGCCAUAGCUUUUCAAAUUUUGGACCCUUUAUGAGCAUAAUAGUGGUUGGAUGAUGUUGGGGUAAAUACGUAAUAAUUAACUGGAAGAUAAAAGGAGACAAGAAAAUUUUUGUUGUUGUGUCCAUUUGUAGAAAAUUUGUUGUAGCUUUUACAAAGUAUGAAGACAAGCACAGUUUUAAAAUCUUUGCAUUCCUAGAUAUACUCACAUUAACCCUAUCCGUACGUCGUGUUUUACUAUCUUAUUUAUAUGACGUGGGGAAGUCUGUGCCACCACUUUCCAAAGAGGAAAUUUACUCAUCAAUCUGAUCCGUACGCUUUUCAUAGCUGUCUGUCAAAAUGAUUUUUUGAGAAAUACUGAAAGAGAUCUUCGCACUAGAAGUAUUCUAAAAUGGGAAGAAUACAACCUCGGGGGUACAAAAUGACCCCAGGGCAUACGGAUAGGCAAUAUUGAAAUACAAAAAUCUGUUAACAGGUUUUUUUUUUCUAGGUUUUUGUCUGAAAAUCAUGACAUGUAUUUUUACUUCAAUAUCUCUCACUCUUUUCCCGGAUGAAACUUGAUUUGUGUGGAGCGCAGAAUUUUUCUUUCUCUCAUGUUCAUGUCUAUAUUUUGAAGGAAAAUGACUGCUACUACUAGGUGUCUGUCCUAAGUGCUUUAGACAUAUCUUUUAGUCCUCAAA